AUUGAACGCUGGCGGCACGCCUAACACAUGCAAGUCGAGCGGCAGCGCGAUAUGUAGCAAUACAUAUUGGCGGCGAGCGGCGGACGGGUGAGGAACACGUAGGAACCUACCCUCGAGUGGGGGAUAACCAAGGGAAACUUUGGCUAAUACCGCAUGAUUUCGAGAGAGCAAAGCUGCCGCAAGGUGGCGCUCGAGGAGGGGCCUGCGUCCGAUUAGCUAGUUGGUGAGGUAAGAGCUCACCAAGGCGAUGAUCGGUAACUGGUCUGAGAGGACGACCAGUCACACUGGGACUGAGACACGGCCCAGACUCCUACGGGAGGCAGCAGUGGGGAAUAUUGGACAAUGGGGGCAACCCUGAUCCAGCGAUGCCGCGUGAGUGGAGAAGGCCUUCGGGUCGUAAAGCUCUUUAGGUUGGGAAGAAGAGUGAUGGAGGCAAUGCUAUCACUUUGACGGUACCGACAGAAUAAGCACCGGCAAACUCUGUGCCAGCCGCCGCGGUAAAAC
rnacentral:rRNA from 1 species